rnacentral:rRNA from 1 species
CCGCGGUAAUACGGAGGGUGCGAGCGUUAAUCGGAAUUACUGGGCGUAAAGCGCAUGCAGGCGGCCUGUUAAGUCACGAUGUGAAAGCCCGGGGCGUUAACCUCGGAAUUGCAUUUGUAAACUGGCAGGCUAGAGUCUUGUAGAGGGGGUAGGAAGUUUCUAGGUGUAGCGGUGAAAUAGCGUAGAGAUCUCGAAGGAAUACCAGUGGCGAAGGCGGCCCCCUCGGACAAAGACUGACGCUCACGAUGCGAAAGCGUGGGGACGCAAACAGGAUUAGAUACCCUGGUAG